AGAUGGUUGAAGAUUCGAUUGUGACGCCAAAGGAGAAAACUAGAUUUAGUUAGUAUGCAGUUACAACCAUUGAGGAGAAGCUUCCAGUCUCCAAGCCGAAAGGUGCUUCUUUGAAAACCACCAAGGAGGAGAAGACAUUAUAUAAAGAAAACCUAAUAUGAUGUGUGAUGCCGUGAUGGGUUCUCUUCUCUUAGAUUUCUGAAAUUGUUUCUGCUAUUCAACGGUAUUCGCUUUCCCUUUCAUUGGAGGCUGUGAAAAAAAGCACUUAUUCCAAGAUUUUCUUUUUCCGGUGAGAAAGCUGAAAUCCCCUGCGUUUAAAGAGGAAAUAAGACUGUGUAUAUAGAUACAGAUAAGACUGUUUAUUUGGAGAAUUUGAAGGCAGUGAAAGGGUGGCGUUGGGCGAUCGACUGGCGUUGAAGGGGUAGCGUUGGGCGGUCGGCUGGCAAGUAGGGAAGUGAGUGGUUCCUGAUUUUUGGUUUUUG
rnacentral:lncRNA from 1 species